GAUGAACGCUGGCGGCGUGCCUAAUACAUGCAAGUCGAGCGAACAGAUGAGGAGCUUGCUCCUCUGACGUUAGCGGCGGACGGGUGAGUAACACGUGGAUAACCUACCUAUAAGACUGGGAUAACUUCGGGAAACCGGAGCUAAUACCGGAUAAUAUAUUGAACCGCAUGGUUCAAUAGUGGAUGACGGUUUUGCUGUCACUUAUAGAUGGAUCCGCGCCGCAUUAGCUAGUUGGUAAGGUAACGGCUUACCAAGGCAACGAUGCGUAGCCGACCUGAGAGGGUGAUCGGCCACACUGGAACUGAGACACGGUCCAGACUCCUACGGGAGGCAGCAGUAGGGAAUCUUCCGCAAUGGGCGAAAGCCUGACGGAGCAACGCCGCGUGAGUGAUGAAGGUCUUCGGAUCGUAAAACUCUGUUAUUAGGGAAGAACAAAUGUGUAAGUAACUAUGCACGUCUUGACGGUACCUAAUCAGAAAGCCACGGCUAACUACGUG
rnacentral:rRNA from 1 species